rnacentral:lncRNA from 1 species
UCGCCUCCUCUGUUUCCCGUCGCGCCGCGCGGGAGGUUGAAGGCGACCUGCCGCCGGGCCCCGCGCGUCAUCGACCAAGUGGGCUGGCCCGACCGUUUAAGUGGAAACGGCUUUGGGUAGAUCCGCCUCCCCCGCGCAAAGGCGCACCGCCGUGAAGCCGCCUUCAACGGCAGCUCUUCCGCCCGCACAGAACAGCCGCCGGGGCCGGCCCAAUUGCUAUUCCGCGCUCAGUGCGCACAGCUGCCGCCCCAGAUCCAGCCCAUUUGGGUAAAAAUCUUUUACUUUUUCUUUUCUGUAAUAUUUGUAUAAUCCACAAAUAAAUCUAAUAAAUUCCCAAUCUUGUAAUUCAAAUUUCUAGUGACUCCAUAAAUCAUGAUCUACCUUUUGGUGCAACAUGCACAUUUUUCCAGAACAACUUUCCUUACACAAAUUAAAUAAAAUCCCAUUUUCCAUUUCUGUGAUGAACUUUAGAAAAUUACAGAGAGAUAAUCUUUGAUCCAAAUGCCAUGAUUCAAAUUUCUAGAUGCUUCUGAGUUCAUAACUUAGGUUAUCAACAUUUUUAUUAAUACUUUCUGUGCCACACAAUAUAAUGAGCCAUUUCUUCAUAUUUGUCAACUUUGCAAAUUCAUAGGGAAUUCAUUUGAACUCCAAAUCCAGUGAAACGAACUCCUAGAUGCUUCUAAAAUCAUGAUUUGUUAAAUGGGUGCCUUUUCUCAUUUUUCAAAAAUAUAUUUCUGUACACUUCUUGCAAAUCCAUAAAUCCAAUGAUUCUAUCAUAUUGAAAUACUCAGAAAUAUGCACUGAUCUAGUCCCAAUGUAACCACUCUGGUUAUUUUUCAUAUGACCAGAGAUGUCCUAGAAAAGUCAAAUUCAUAUUUUUAGAGCACUUUUAUGUUUGCCUUGCUGUGUUGCUUAUUGUGUUUGUUUCCGACGUUAGUUGACGAAGUAGACGGAGUACUUGGAAGGACCAGAAGAUUUCAAGACUCUGAUGAACCAGGCAAGCAGCCCUUUGACCACGAUGAACCCUUUUACAUCACAAAAGCUUUUCCAUUGUUUCAUCGAGUGCAUGGUAUAUCUUGAAUGGCAACUUGCUAGGCUUGCCUCCUUUGCAUACCCUGUUGAUACUUGCAUUGUUCAUGACUAUAUCCGUGUUUAGAGUUGUGUUGAUGGGUUGUAGAAAUAUGCUAUAGUAAAUGGCUACGCAAAGUGGGUCAGGGUUAUGCAUGGAAAGAAACAAGUGUGGUUUGACAUACUUGCAAACAGCCCCAGUGGGUGCCACUAAUGCCCCUGGGAGAUGAUGAUGAAUUAGGUCACUACUUGGUGGAGAGGUAGUGUACCAAGGCUUGAUGAAAGUGUUGUUUACAGAGACGGAUUAGAUUUAAGAUUGUCUAUCGUCCCAACCAAACAUGUACAACCACACUACCCCCUUAUGGGAUGGGGCAUUAUUGAUUACCUAGUUCGUGCUAGCAUGGAUGCCCGCAUUACUAGUGACGUGGUCACUCUCGGGACGGGAUCGUGGUUGGAUAGGCGGCCAUGACUGUUUUCACAGGGCACCGGACACACCGAUGGUACCCCAGUGCAUGCGAGAUGUGAUGAGUAUGGGAGCGUGGCUCCACCAAAUUAAAUUGUGAAAAUGUUUGGCACGGGGGCUGUUACCAAUCGAGUGGACUCUAUGUUGGUCACGACUAGGGAAAGGUAGUCAUCGGGUGAUUACCCCGGGUACUUAAGGUACCGCGGGUCGUGGAUGACACGAAAGUUUCCCGGAUCUUGUGGGUAAAGUGUGCAACCUCUGCAGAGUGUCAAACUAUUCGAAUAGCCGUGUCCAUAGUCAAGGACAGUUGGGUGGUGCUGCUUAGACUAUGUCCAUAUGUUUCUGAUAAACAACACGGGUCGAGUAUAUUGUUGAUGUGAUUCGUGAGGAAGUCAUGAUGAGCUUGAGCAUGAGUUGUUCACAACUCUUUUUCGACGUUAAUGUCUGUAACCUCCUGAUACUUGUUGCAGGCGCAUUCUUGUCCUUGAUAAAUGUUGAUCAUACUUGCAUGAGCAAAACUAGCUUUCCGCAAAAAUGCAAAUUUAGCAGUUGAGCCUUGCAUAAUUAUUCUUUUAUCACUCUUGGGUUGCUUGCGAGUACAUUCAAAGUACUCAUUGGCUUGCCACUGGUUAUUUUAUUGGCCAGGCUUGAAAGAAUAGGAUACGAUGAAGAAUACUUUGGCGACGAACAUGCGAGCUAGGACGCUUCCCAGUCAGAAUGCCUGUAGGGUUAAGGCAGAUGGCAUGGGUCCAAGUUAUCGACGAAGAUUUCCGCUACGAAGUUAUACUCAAGACUUGACCAUAAUGGUCAUAAUUUAUGUAAGACAGUAUGUAUGGAUGUAAGACUCUUGUUAUUCAGCUUCUGUGUGUUCAGUGAGCAUUGAUCUCUGGGAUCAUUGUACACGUGCAUUCGGUGAUCACGACUUAUGAGUCGGGGUCCCCACAGUUCAGAUUUUGGUUGCAUGUGCGAUGCAGGGCACACGGAUGAUCCAUAUGACUAUUUGCGAUGAGACAGAACAACAGAAAUGGAAG